CUGGUUUCUAAGGAGAAAGCAACAGAAGUGGCCAAAGUCAACGAUACAGAGAAGAUUAGCAUGGCCCCUGCGCAAGGAUGAUACGCAAAUUCGUGAAGCGUUCCAUAAGUUU